UACGUAGGGGGCAAGCGUUGUCCGGAAUUAUUGGGCGUAAAGCGCGCGCAGGCGGCUGUUUAAGUCUGGUGUUUAAACCUUGGGCUCAACCUGGGGUCGCACUGGAAACUGGAUGGCUUGAGUACAGAAGAGGAAAGUGGAAUUCCACGUGUAGCGGUGAAAUGCGUAGAGAUCCGGAGGAACACCAGAGGCGAAGGCGGCCGACUAGACCUGACCUGACGCUGAGGCGCGAAGGCGUGGGGAGCGAACGGG
rnacentral:rRNA from 1 species